GUGGGGAAUAUUGGGCAAUGGGGGAAACCCUGACCCAGCGACGCCGCGUGAGGGAAGACGGCCUUCGGGUUGUAAACCUCUUUUGUACGGGAAGAAGGAAGUGACGGUACUGUACGAAUAAGUCCCGGCUAACUACGUGCCAGCAGCCGCGGUAAUACGUAGGGGACGAGCGUUGUCCGGAAUUACUGGGCGUAAAGGGCGCGCAGGCUGUGCUGCAAGUCAGCUGUGAAAUGUCUGGGCUUAACCCGGGCAUGCGGUUGAGACUGCAGUGCUGGAGUGCUGUAGAGGCAAGUGGAAUUCCCAGUGUAGUGGUGAAAUGCGUAGAUAUUGGGAAGAACACCGGUGGCGAAGGCGACUUGCUGGGCAGCAACUGACGCUGAGGCGCGAAAGCCAGGGGAGCAAACGGGAUUAGAAACCCCGGUAGUCC
rnacentral:rRNA from 1 species